UAUGUACUAUACUAAUAUUAUUUUUAGGCUUAUGUGCUGUAACAGGUCACGUCCUCAAUUGUAUGCCGAACGAGGACAAAUUGUGUCGGGUUUGGCUUGUAAAGUGCUUACAGUUUAAGUGCGUCUGUAAAAAGGGUUUGAUACGUGUGACGGGGAUCUGCACUGAAAGGGGAAAAAAGCCAACACAUCCUCCGAGGCCAAAAAGGAGGCCACCACCUACAACUGCAAAACCGCAAAUCAACAACGACAGCGACUAUCCCAACCUGAGCCCCAAUACCAAUUCAAAUAUAAUAAAAGAGCCAAUAAUGAAUCCAAAAUCAAUUCUAACUGAAGUCCGCCAAAUGAUGCUUGAAUCCUCCGAAGAUAAUUAAAAACAACAUGAAAAAAAAUGCUUAAUUAAUCGUCUUUGAUUGUCCUAUCAGCGAUCGAAGUGGCGGUGUGUUCCGAACAGCUGUGAUAUGAGCGGCCAAGCAUGCUUAGAGAUGUGCAGCGCAGUUGGAAUCUUUUCGAUAGGAACACUAAACAACUAACAGGGAUGGACGUAAU